rnacentral:rRNA from 1 species
CCGUGCAUUUAUUCGCCUAGAAAACCAACACGUCUCGGGUUACGCCUGUCAGUAUUUAUAGUCCCUCUAUUCCCUCAAAAGAAUAUGCUCUAUAAAUGCCCAGGAUUUACGAUCCAGACGUUCACGGUGAUUCUGAAUAACUGAUGCUGAUCGUACAGGGCCUAUGUGCCUACGAUAUUUCAAUCAAAUUUCUGCCCUAUCAUAUUUGUUGGUAGGGUAGCGGCCUACCAAGGUGACGACGGGUAACGGGGAAUCAGGGUUCGAUUCCGGAGAGGGAGCCUGAGAAACGGCUACCACAUCCAAGGAUGGCAGCAGGCGCGCAAACUAUCCAAUCCAGACAAUGGGAGAUGGUGACGAGGUAUAUUGGAACUCACCGGCUAUGCCGGUCGAGUUACCAGAUAGACCCUAAUUUAAACCAAUAGCGGGUUAUUCAACGGGAGGGCAAGUCUGGUGCCAGCAGCCGCGGUAAUACCAGCUCCCGUAGUGUAUACGUUAGUUGUUGCGGUUAAAAAGCUCGUAGUUGAAAUACGGCGCGCUCGAAAGACCGUUCAGGAGUGUGGCUCCCAAAAGUGUAGUUUGUAGAGACUUAGAAUUGCGCUCCUUUACAUAUAAGUGUUUUGGUAUGUUGCUCCAAUCAUCUAGUUUGUUCUUGUAAUAAAUUAGUUGAGUAAAGCCUCAUAUUGCUGCAUAUUAUAUGUGAUUGAGAGUUGUCCUUCGUCUCUCUUAUACUCCUGAAAGAUCAUUAGAGCGUGCUUUCUCGUUGGGCCCGCCCGAUCUCCUUCAGUGGUGACGGGGGAAGUCCAGCGAAUUGUGCCUUGAGUAAAAUAGAGUGCUCCAAGCAGGCUGUGAUUAAUUUCAUCGCCCGCAUACUCCAGCAUGGAACGAAUGUUCAAUUGCUUAAACCACCCCGCUGGCCUAGUUUGUUGGUUCAACACCGUAUAACACUUGUGUUAUUCGGCUAGGUCGUGUCCGCAGGAAAGUGUACCCGGAGAACCGUCUAUAGUCAUUCGGUGGUACAUCUCCAGCUGGGAAUCAUGUCCUUCUGUGUGGGCCGUUGAAUGUUUGAAUCUGCUUCACACCAACAAUCUCCAUCUUUAAUGCUUGAUGUGUUUAUAUUCACUCUGUGCUUAUAUUCACCUCUCAGCAUCUUAAAUUUGUGUGUAUUGCCUUGGCUGUGUAAUCUUAUUCUCAUUCAUGGCCACAAAAACACACACCUGGGCACCCAGUAUUUGGUAGAUACCACUCGGCUAUAAAUGUGUGCUAUUUGAACUUUCUUUUCAUACCCUUGAUCGGUGUAUGUGAUUGACUGUUUUCAUCUAACAAUUUUGUCACCGGGAGCAAUGCACUCCCUGUGUAUGGGUAUCGGUUAACAGAGACAUUUGGGGGCAUUAGUAUUUGGCCGCGAGAGGUGAAAUUCUUAGACCGGUCAAAGACUAACAAUUGCGAAAGCAUUUGCCAAAGGUGUUUUCAUUAAUCAAGAACGAAAGUUGGAGGAUCGAUGACGAUUAGAUACCGUCGUAGUUCCAACUGUAAACUAUGCCAACCAGGGCUCAGGCCGAAUCAUUUAUAUUAAAAAUAUUAUGGAUUCAGGUUGGGCCCCCCGGGAAACCUAAAGUUUUUGGGUUCCGGGGGGAGUAUGGUUGCAAGGCUGAAACUUAAAGGAAUUGACGGAAGGGCACCACCAGGAGUGGAGCCUGCGGCUUAAUUUGACUCAACACGGGGAAUCUCAUCAGGUCCGGACAUCGGAAGGAUUGACAGACUGACAGAUCUUUCAUGAUUCGGUGGAUGGUGGUGCAUGGCCGUUCUUAGUCGGUGGAGUGAUUUGUCUGCUUUAUUGCGAUCAACGGACGAGACUACGACCUUUAUUUUGGCCGUAUGAAAUUUUCAACCGGUUCCGCUAGGCACACUAAAGUCCUGUGUGAAGGAACACGGUCCUAAUUCAUUGAUUGCCGUUCAUCGUUGAUGCCAGCUAGCGUUGACGAGAUGACGCUCGUAAUGAUGUGCCAUACUCUCCUUCGUACUCUCAGUGAUGCGGUGCAAUGAAUUGGUCCUUGCCUUCUUCAUACAGGAUGUGUCUGUGGUCCGGUGUGUGUUCGUUCGCCUUCAUAGAGGGACUAUCGGGUUCCAACUCGGGGGAAGCGUAGCAAUAGCAGGUCAGUGAUGCCCUUAGAUGUUCUGGGCUGCACGCGCGCUACAAUGGUAACGACAAUGAGUUUCUGCACCGAAAGGUGUGGGUAAUCUUAUCAAUCGUUGCCGUGCUGGGGAUUGAGCCUUGAAAUUAUUGCUCAUAAACCUGGAAUUCCUCGUAAGUACGAGUCACAAGCUCGUGCUGAAUACGUCUCUGCCCUUUGUACACACCGCCCGUCGCUACUACCGAUCGAAUGAUUUGGUGAGGACAUGGGAUCGAUCGGCGCCUCCUUGUGUGUGCGCUGAUUGAGAGCCUGUCCAAGCUGCAUCAGUCAGAGAAGU